GAUGAACGCUGGCGGCGUGCCUAAUACAUGCAAGUCGAGCGAACAGACGAGGAGCUUGCUCCUCUGACGUUAGCGGCGGACGGGUGAGUAACACGUGGAUAACCUACCUAUAAGACUGGGAUAACUUCGGGAAACCGGAGCUAAUACCGGAUAAUAUAUUGAACCGCAUGGUUCAAUAGUGAAAGACGGUUCUGCUGUCACUUAUAGAUGGAUCCGCGCCGCAUUAGCUAGUUGGUAAGGUAACGGCUUACCAAGGCAACGAUGCGUAGCCGACCUGAGAGGGUGAUCGGCCACACCGGAACUGAGACACGGUCCAGACUCCUACGGGAGGCAGCAGUAGGGAAUCUUCCGCAAUGGGCGAAAGCUUGACGGAGCAACGCCGCGUGAGUGAUGAAGGUCUUCGGAUCGUAAAACUCUGUUAUUAGGGAAGAACAAAUGUGUAAGUAACUAUGCACGUCUUGACGGUACCUAAUCAGAAAGCCACGGCUAACUAC
rnacentral:rRNA from 1 species